rnacentral:rRNA from 1 species
UAGGGAAUCUUCGGCAAUGGGGGGAACCCUGACCGAGCAACGCCGCGUGAGUGAAGAAGGUUUUCGGAUCGUAAAGCUCUGUUGUUAAGGAAGAACGAGUGUGAGAAUGGAAAGUUCAUACUGUGACGGUACUUAACCAGAAAGGGACGGCUAACUACGUGCCAGCAGCCGCGGUAAUACGUAGGUUCCGAGCGUUGUCCGGAUUUAUUGGGCGUAAAGCGAGCGCAGGCGGUUAGAUAAGUCUGAAGUUAAAGGCAGUGGCUCAACCAUUGUAGGCUUUGGAAACUGUUUAACUUGAGUGCAGAAGGGGAGAGUGGAAUUCCAUGUGUAGCGGUGAAAUGCGUAAAUAUAUGGAGGAACACCGGUGGCGAAAGCGGCUCUCAGGUCUGUAACUUACGCUGAGGCUCGAAAGCGUGGGGGGCUAACGGA